rnacentral:rRNA from 1 species
CUUGCCCAUUUGAGGGGGAUACCAGUUGGAAACGACUGUUAAUACCGCAUAAUAUCUGUGGAUUAAAGGUGGCUUUCGGGCUGUCGCAGAUGGAUGAGCCUGCGUUGGAUUAGCUAGUUGGUGGGGUAAGGGCCCACCAAGGCUACGAUCCAUAGCUGAUUUGAGAGGAUGAUCAGCCACAUUGGGACUGAGACACGGCCCAAACUCCUACGGGAGGCAGCAGUGGGGAAUAUUGGACAAUGGGGGCAACCCUGAUCCAGCAAUGCCAUGUGUGUGAAGAAGGCCCUAGGGUUGUAAAGCACUUUAGUUGGGGAGGAAAGCCUCAAGGUUAAUAGCCUUGGGGAGGACGUUACCCAAAGAAUAAGCACCGGCUAACUCCGUGCCAGCAGCCGCGGUAAUACGGGGGGUGCAAGCGUUAAUCGGAAUUACUGGGCGUAAAGGGUCUGUAGGUGGUUUGUUAAGUCAGAUGUGAAAGCCCAGGGCUCAACCUUGGAACUGCAUUUGAUACUGGCAAACUAGAGUACGGUAGAGGAAUGGGGAAUUUCUGGUGUAGCGGUGAAAUGCGUAGAGAUCAGAAGGAACACCAAUGGCGAAGGCAACAUUCUGGACCGAUACUGACACUGAGGGACGAAAGCGUGGGGAUCAAACAGGAUUAGAUACCCUGGUAGUCCACGCUAUAAACGAUGAGUACUAGCUGUUGGAGUCGGUGUAAAGGCUCUAGUGGCGCAGCUAACGCGAUAAGUACUCCGCCUGGGGACUACGGCCGCAAGGCUAAAACUCAAAGGAAUUGACGGGGACCCGCACAAGCGGUGGAGCAUGUGGUUUAAUUCGAUGCAACGCGAAGAACCUUACCUGGUCUUGACAUCCUGCGAACUUUCUAGAGAUAGAUUGGUGCCUUCGGGAACGCAGUGACAGGUGCUGCACGGCUGUCGUCAGCUCGUGUUGUGAAAUGUUGGGUUAAGUCCCGCAACGAGCGCAACCCCUAUUGAUAGUUACCAUCAUUAAGUUGGGUACUCUAUUGAGACUGCCGCUGACAAGGCGGAGGAAGGUGGGGACGACGUCAAGUCAUCAUGGCCCUUACGACCAGGGCUACACACGUGCUACAAUGGGUAUUACAGAGGGCUGCGAAGGUGCGAGCUGGAGCGAAACUCAAAAAGGUACUCUUAGUCCAAGGG